rnacentral:tRNA from 1 species
GAAGGUGUAACUCAGUGGUGGUGUGCAUGCCUAGCAUGCCUGAGGUCCUGGGUUCAAUCCCCAGUGCCUCUA